UACGUAGGGUGCAAGCGUUAAUCGGAAUUACUGGGCGUAAAGCGUGCGCAGGCGGUUGUGCAAGACAGAUGUGAAAAUCCCCGGGCUUAACCUGGGAAUUGCAUUUGUGACUGCACGGCUAGAGUGUGUCAGAGGGGGGUAGAAUUCCACGUGUAGCAGUGAAAUGCGUAGAUAUGUGGAGGAAUACCGAUGGCGAAGGCAGCCCCCUGGGAUACGACUGACGCUCAUGCACGAAAGCGUGGGGAGCAAACAGG
rnacentral:rRNA from 1 species